AGGGACUAGAAGGGGAGUGAAGAUGGCCAGAGCUCGCAAGGAUUCCUUCAACAGUCAGCCUCCAAUAGAUUCAUACAGAAAAGUAAUAGGCCCAGUGGUGCCACGACGGAUUUGCAACUGACCUUAACGGAGUAUACAGAGGUCCAUCCAAAAAAGUUUCAGGUUAAGACAUCUGAUGAAAGUGAAAACAAGACUACAAGAAGUCAAAGUCAGAACUACAGGAAUCAAAGAAAAAAGCACAAGCAAAGAAGUCAAAGCCAAAGACAUAUAAGGAAAUUGGCCUCAUUAUUG